AUUGAACGCUGGCGGCAUGCCUGACACAUGCAAGUCGAACGGUAACAGGCUAAGCUGACGAGUGGCGAACGGGUGAGUAAUGUAUCGGAACGGGCCCAGGCGUGGCGGAUAACUGCUCGAAAGAGCAGCUAAUACCGCAUACGACCGGAGAGGGAAAGCGGGGGAUCGCAAGACCUCGCGCGAUUGGAGCGGCAGAGAUCAGAUUGGAUAGUUGGUGAGGUAAAGGCUGACGAGGCCGACGAUAUGUAGCUGGUCUGAGAGGACGACCAGCCACACUAGGACCGCGCCACCGCCCAGACUCCUCCGGGAGGCCGCAGUGGGGAAUUUUGGGCAACGGGCGCAAUCCUGCCCCAGCCCUGCCGCGUGCGGGACAAAGACCUUCCGGUUGUAAACCGCUUUUGUCAGGGAAGAAAAGGUUCUGGCUAAUACCUGGGACUCGUGACGGUACCUGAUGAAUAAGCACCGGCUAACUACGUG
rnacentral:rRNA from 1 species